GCCAGGUGUGGUGGCAGGUGCCUGUAGUCCCAGCUACUCGGGAGGCUGAGGCGGGAGGAUCUCUUGAGUCCAGGAGUUCUGGGCUGUAGUGUGCUAUGCCAAUCGGGUGUCCACACUAAGUUCGGCAUCAAUAUGGUGACCUCCCGGGAGCGGGGGACCACCAGGUUGCCUAAGGAGGGGUGAACCAGCCCAGAUCAGAAACGGAGCAGGUCAAAACUCCAGUGCUGAUCAGUAGUGGGAUCGCACCUGUGAAUAGCCACUGCACUCCAGCCUGGGCAAUAUAGCAAGACCAGCAAGACCCAGUCUCU
rnacentral:SRP_RNA from 1 species